CCUACGGGAGGCAGCAGUGAGGAAUAUUGGUCAAUGGACGAGAGUCUGAACCAGCCAAGUAGCGUGAAGGAUGACUGCCCUAUGGGUUGUAAACUUCUUUUAUAUGGGAAUAAAAUGUUCCACGUGUGGGAUUUUGUAUGUACCAUAUGAAUAAGGAUCGGCUAACUCCGUGCCAGCAGCCGCGGUAAUACGGAGGAUCCGAGCGUUAUCCGGAUUUAUUGGGUUUAAAGGGAGCGUAGGUGGAUUGUUAAGUCAGUUGUGAAAGUUUGCGGCUCAACCGUAAAAUUGCAUUUGAAACUGGCAGUCUUGAGUACAGUAGAGGUGGGCGGAAUUCGUGGUGUAGCGGUGAAAUGCUUAGAGAUCACGAAGAACUCCGAUUGCGAAGGCAGUUCACUGGACUGCAACUGACACUGAGGCUCGAAAGUGUGGGUAUCAAACAGGAUUAGAUACCCUUGUAGUC
rnacentral:rRNA from 1 species